GAUUAAAAAUAUUUUAAAUUAAAAUUUUUAAGAUUUUAAGUCUCAUAGGUAUGAUCUCAUCAUAAUCCUAAAAUUAUUAUCCUGAUUUAUGGGGUUCAUCAUAAUUAUUACAAAUAUAAGAUACAGCAUAUGAUGAAAAAUAAAUAUCUUUUAUUUAUUUAUAAAGUGUUAGUUACAUGAGUCUGAAAGAUUAUAAGAAAAAUCUAUCAAAAUAUAAAUUUUGAUUAACUUUUAAGACAUAUUUCUUUCAAUAAGACUA
rnacentral:lncRNA from 1 species